rnacentral:rRNA from 4 species
GAACGGGUGAGUAACACGUGGGCAAUCUGCCCUUCACUCUGGGACAAGCCCUGGAAACGGGGUCUAAUACCGGAUACGACCUCCGACCGCAUGGUCUGGUGGUGGAAAGCUCCGGCGGUGAAGGAUGAGCCCGCGGCCUAUCAGCUUGUUGGUGGGGUGAUGGCCUACCAAGGCGACGACGGGUAGCCGGCCUGAGAGGGCGACCGGCCACACUGGGACUGAGACACGGCCCAGACUCCUACGGGAGGCAGCAGUGGGGAAUAUUGCACAAUGGGCGAAAGCCUGAUGCAGCGACGCCGCGUGAGGGAUGACGGCCUUCGGGUUGUAAACCUCUUUCAGCAGGGAAGAAGCGAGAGUGACGGUACCUGCAGAAGAAGCGCCGGCUAACUACGUGCCAGCAGCCGCGGUAAUACGUAGGGCGCAAGCGUUGUCCGGAAUUAUUGGGCGUAAAGAGCUCGUAGGCGGCUUGUCACGUCGGAUGUGAAAGCCCGGGGCUUAACCCCGGGUCUGCAUUCGAUACGGGCAGGCUAGAGUUCGGUAGGGGAGAUCGGAAUUCCUGGUGUAGCGGUGAAAUGCGCAGAUAUCAGGAGGAACACCGGUGGCGAAGGCGGAUCUCUGGGCCGAUACUGACGCUGAGGAGCGAAA